AAGUCGUAACAAGGUUUCCGUAGGUGAACCUGCGGAAGGAUCAUUAACACGUAUCCAAACGUUAAAACCCCCCCCGUGAACCUUCAUCCUGCUCUUGUAACCCGCGAAGCUUGCAAUCUCUGAUAAACAUUGGAACAGUUACAAUCGAGCGGUAGUUGUAUAGGCAAUAUUUCCCCAAGCAGUCAGUGUCGGAAAGUGUCAUUGAUUGUGCAACGAUAGCGCUUCUACGAUUCCUGUAGACCGUACACUCGGGCAGGAGCUUUGCCAGAGGGUCCCCAUGCCCCCUAAUAACCCCACAGUUUAAUGUGAAGCUCAGUGUAAUACAUUGGGUAAAAAAACCGAACAACUGUUAACAAUGGAUAUCUUGGUUCUC
rnacentral:misc_RNA from 1 species